GUAUCAAAUGAUGAUUAUGGAUGUCAAUUCUCACGACGGUCGUCUGAGAUUUUUCAGUGAUGAUAAACAUCCUUUUCUUCUGAUGAUU